rnacentral:rRNA from 1 species
AUUGAACGCUGGCGGCAUGCCUUACACAUGCAAGUCGAACGGCAGCACGGGAGCAAUCCUGGUGGCGAGUGGCGAACGGGUGAGUAAUAUAUCGGAACGUGCCCGGUCGUGGGGGAUAACGUAGCGAAAGCUACGCUAAUACCGCAUACGAUCUACGGAUGAAAGCGGGGGAUCGCAAGACCUCGCGCGAUUGGAGCGGCCGAUAUCAGAUUAGGUAGUUGGUGAGGUAAAGGCUCACCAAGCCGACGAUCUGUAGCUGGUCUGAGAGGACGACCAGCCACACUGGGACUGAGACGCGGCCCAGACUCCUACGGGAGGCAGCAGUGGGGAAUUUUGGACAAUGGGCGAAAGCCUGAUCCAGCCAUGCCGCGUGUGUGAAGAAGGUCUUCGGAUUGUAAAGCACUUUAAGUUGGGAGGAAGGGUAGUAACCUAAUACGUUGCUACUUUGACGUUACCGACAGAAUAAGCACCGGCUAACUUCGUGCCAGCAGCCG